rnacentral:rRNA from 1 species
AGAGCGAACGCUGGCGGCAGGCUUAACACAUGCAAGUCGAGCGGGCGUAGCAAUACGUCAGCGGCAGACGGGUGAGUAACGCGUGGGAACAUACCUUUUGGUUCGGAACAACCCAGGGAAACUUGGGCUAAUACCGGAUAAGCCCUUACGGGGAAAGAUUUAUCGCCGAAAGAUUGGCCCGCGUCUGAUUAGCUAGUUGGCGAGGUAACGGCUCACCAAGGCGACGAUCAGUAGCUGGUCUGAGAGGAUGAUCAGCCACAUUGGGACUGAGACACGGCCCAAACUCCUACGGGAGGCAGCAGUGGGGAAUAUUGGACAAUGGGCGCAAGCCUGAUCCAGCCAUGCCGCGUGAGUGAUGAAGGCCCUAGGGUUGUAAAGCUCUUUUGUGCGGGAAGAUAAUGACGGUACCGCAAGAAUAAGCCCCGGCUAACUUCGUGCCAGCAGCCGC